rnacentral:tRNA from 1 species
AAAUGGCCUAGUUGGCAGGGCAUCGGCUUGAUUCCUCGGAUUGCCCGGGUUCGAGCCCUGGCAU